rnacentral:RNase_P_RNA from 1 species
UGAGCCGGCCGGGCGGUCGCGUCGGGUCCUUUCGAGGGCCCGCCGAGGAACGUCCGGGCUCCACAGAGCAGGGUGGUGGGUAACGCCCACCCGGGGUGACCCGCGGGACAGUGCCACAGAAAGCAGACCGCCUGCGGCCCCCUCGGCCACAGGUAAGGGUGAAACGGUGGUGUAAGAGACCACCAGCGACCGAGGUGACUCGGUCGGCUCGGUAAACCCCACUCGGAGCAAGGUCAAGAUCGGUGCCUUCGGGCGCCGUGCGCGGAUGUUCGAGGGCUGCUCGCCCGAGUCCGCGGGUAGACCGCACGAGGCUGUCGGCAACGGCAGCCCUAGAUGGAUGGCCGCCUCCCCGGGCCGCGCAAGCAACCCGGGAGACAGAACCCGGCGUACAGGCCGACUCGUCCG